UGGGGAAUUUUGGACAAUGGGCGCAAGCCUGAUCCAGCCAUGCCGCGUGCGGGAAGAAGGCCUUCGGGUUGUAAACCGCUUUUGGCAGGGAAGAAAUCUUCUGAGUUAAUACCUCGGGAGGAUGACGGUACCUGAAGAAUAAGCACCGGCUAACUACGUGCCAGCAGCCGCGGUAAUACGUAGGGUGCAAGCGUUAAUCGGAAUUACUGGGCGUAAAGCGUGCGCAGGCGGUUUUGUAAGACAGAGGUGAAAUCCCCGGGCUCAACCUGGGAACUGCCUUUGUGACUGCAAGGCUUGAGUGCGGCAGAGGGGGAUGGAAUUCCGCGUGUAGCAGAGAAUGCGUAGAUAUGCGGAGGAACACCGAUGGCGAAGGCAAUCCCCUGGGCCUGCACUGACGCUCAUGCACGAAAGCGUGGGGAGCAAACAGGAUUAGAUACCCUGGUAGUCCACGCCCUAAACGAUGUCAACUGGUUGUUGGGAAGGUUCCUUCUCAGUAACGUAGCUAACGCGUGAAGUUGACCGCCUGAGGAGUACGGCCGCAAGGUUGAAACUCAAAAGGAAUUGAC
rnacentral:rRNA from 1 species